GAUGAACGCUGGCGGCGUGCCUAAUACAUGCAAGUCGAGCGAACGGACGAGAAGCUUGCUUUUCUGAUGUUAGCGGCGGACGGGUGAGUAACACGUGGAUAACCUACCUAUAAGAAUGGGAUAACUUCGGGAAACCGGAGCUAAUACCGGAUAAUAUUUUGAACCGCAUGGUUCAACAGUGAAAGACGGUCUUGCUGUCACUUAUAGAUGGAUCCGCGCUGCAUUAGCUAGUUGGUAAGGUAACGGCUUACCAAGGCAACGAUGCAUAGCCGACCUGAGAGGGUGAUCGGCCACACUGGAACUGAGACACGGUCCAGACUCCUACGGGAGGCAGCAGUAGGGAAUCUUCCGCAAUGGGCGAAAGCCUGACGGAGCAACGCCGCGUGAGUGAUGAAGGUCUUCGGAUCGUAAAACUCUGUUAUUAGGGAAGAACAUAUGUGUAAGUAACUGUGCACAUCUUGACGGUACCUAAUCAGAAAGCCACGGCUAACUACGUG
rnacentral:rRNA from 1 species